GCCAGUGUAGCAUAGUGGUUUAAGCAUUAGACUAUGGUUCUGGAGACCAGCGUUUGAUUCUGCUCUCAGCCA